UCCUAAUUGUUUUUCUGCAUUGUGAGCUGCCCUGACGCAGUCAGCUGAUUAUGAGAAUCUGAAGUUACAGAGAGCAUCAAGAACAAAUGUAUUUCAAGUACACUGGACAUGUCAAACCCUAAAAGAGCUGGAUCAGUGGUGUCAGACCCUCAACACUCCCAAAAGCUCCUAAGGGUCAUUCAGUCUUUAAAACAAGAUGAUUGUUUUCAAGAUGCAGUGCUGGUUUUGGAAAAUGAACAGAUUCCUGUUCAGAAAAACAUUCUGGCUGCUGCUAGUUCAUACAUCAGAGGGGUACCUGUUUGCAAUAGGAGGAAUGAAUGAGAAUAAAACAGUCUUUAGCAGUGGAGAGAAAUAUGACCCAGAGACCAACACCUGGACUCAAAUCCCUCCGAUGAUGCAGGCCAGACAGCACUUCGCCAUUGCAGAGUUGGAUUGACUCCCAUUGCAUUGCAAUGUUUUAGGUGGAGAGAACGGGGACACUUAAGUUCUCCUCACAAUGGAGGUGUUUGACCCCCAUUGCAGUGUUUGGAGAACACGACCCAAAAUGACCACUGUGCGCAAAUUCGGUUGCUGUGCCACCAGAAAAAGAGACUGUAUGUUAUUGGGUGGAGGAUCUUAUGGAAAAAUGUAUGACUCUUUGGAGAGCUAUGACCCCAAAACCCAACAGUGGACAACAGUCUGCCCUCUUAAGGAAAGGAGGUAAAGUUUGGCACAGUAGCAUGUGGGAUUGGACAAGAGCUCUAUGUAUUUGGUGGUGUGAGGAACAGAGACGCUGACAACCCAGAGUCCAGUCAGGUGACCAUCUGCAAGUCUGAGUUCUUCCACGAUGAGCUAAAAAGAUUUGCUAAAAUGAGCCACAUGGCCAUUUUGGAAUAAUGUGUGGGAGUUCCGCAGAAGCACAGGUACCACCAGACCCCUCAUGGCCUCUGAUCUGAGCAGGACGAGCUGUGCCACCCUACGUAUCGCUAACUGUAAGCUGUUCCGCCUGCAGCUCCAUCAGGGACAGUUCCAGAUCCGGGUUCAAUCCACAUAAACAACUCCCAUCCUCACCUCUGGCUUUAUAUCCCUCCUCCGUCGUCUGCUGGUUUGGAGGAGGAUGCAGAGGAUUGUGAGAUCACACUGGCAACAGCAGAGUUUGGUUAUAAUGUGGGAAAGCUUGAAUGAAUUGUCCUGUUUUUUUUUAUGUUGUCUUUUCUUAGAGGAUGAAUUUUACAUAAUCUUUGGUUCCUUUUUACAUGAUUCCCAGUCACAGGAAAUGCUGUUACAUUAGAUGCAACCUGCUGACUGUUUUCAUGCUUUAUAUGAAUAGUUUACAAUAGAAUGUACCUAGAGUAGCUGUUGUUGCAGUUUAUUUAAUGCUAACACUUUUGAACAUCGGUGAAGGAAGUCAAAAUUGCUUAUUUUAUACUGUAGUUAAGUCUUAAAUGUGGGUUCAGUAAGUAAGGGAACAAAUCAAGAACUAUGAUUUAGUAGUAUGUUCAUAUCAAGCACAGUUCUGUUGCUAAUGCAAGUGUCUGUCUAGCUACUGUACAGUCAAAGUUGAAAUGACAUGUUAGCUUAUUGAAAUGAUUCAAAAUCUCAUUGCACUUUUGCUGAUAAUUAAUCUUGAAUUUAAAGUUUGUUGUUAUUUAUAUAUAUAUAUA